UUAAGCCUAUGAUGGAUUAGUUAUCCCUGUCUGAAAAUUUGAGCUGAGGGAAAUAACACUACUCUGAGGCUUAG